GCCUCUGUGGCGCAAUGGUAGCGCGUACGACUCCUAUACAAAAUCACUGGUAAUCGUGAAGUUCCAAGUUCGAGUCUUGGCUGAGGUG
rfam:Penicillium flavigenum strain IBT 14082 PENFLA_contig037, whole genome shotgun sequence.